AAAAUGACUCUCGGCAACGGAUAUCUCGGCUCUCGCAUCGAUGAAGAACGUAGCGAAAUGCGAUACUUGGUGUGAAUUGCAGAAUCCCGUGAACCAUCGAGUCUUUGAACGCAAGUUGCGCCCGAAGCCACCAGGCCGAGGGCACGUCUGCCUGGGCGU
rnacentral:rRNA from 76 species